GGGUGAGUAACACGUGAGUAACCUGCCCUUGACUUUGGGAUAACUUCAGGAAACUGGGGCUAAUACCGGAUAGGAGCUCCUGACUGCAUGGUGGGGGUUGGAAAGUUUCGGCGGUUGGGGAUGGACUCGCGGCUUAUCAGCUUGUUGGUGGGGUAGUGGCUUACCAAGGCUUUGACGGGUAGCCGGCCUGAGAGGGUGACCGGCCACAUUGGGACUGAGAUACGGCCCAG
rnacentral:rRNA from 1 species